UACAGAGAAUGCAAGCAUUAUCCGGAAUGAUUGGGCGUAAAGCGUCUUGUAGGUGGCUUUUUAAGUCCGCCGUCAAAUCCCAGGGCUCAACUCUGGACAGGUGGUGGAAACUACCAAGCUUGAGUACGGUAGGGGCAGAGGGAAUUUCCGAUGGAGCGGUGAAAUGCUUAGAGAUCGGAAAGAACACCAACAGUGAAAGCUCGUUGUUGGGCCAACAUGUACACUCAUAUUGAGAGACGAAAGCUAGGAGAGCGCAUGGG
rnacentral:rRNA from 1 species